rnacentral:miRNA from 1 species
AGAGGUAUUGUUUAUUGGCUAA